GGGGUUGUGGCUCAGUCGUAGAGCGCUCGCCUCGCACAUGGGAGAUCCUGGGUUCGAUCCUCAGCACCA
rnacentral:tRNA from 1 species